rnacentral:rRNA from 1 species
AUUGAACGCUGGCGGCAUGCCUUACACAUGCAAGUCGAACGGCAGCGCGGGAGCAAUCCUGGCGGCGAGUGGCGAACGGGUGAGUAACAUAUCGGAACGUGCCCAGGAGUGGGGGAUAGCCCGGCGAAAGCCGGAUUAAUACCGCAUACGAUCUAUGGAUGAGAGCGGGGGAUCGCGAGACCUCGCGCUCAUGGAGCGGCCGAUAUCUGAUUAGCUAGUUGGUGGGGUAAGAGCCUACCAAGGCGACGAUCAGUAGCUGGUCUGAGAGGACGACCAGCCACACUGGGACUGAGACACGGCCCAGACUCCUACGGGAGGCAGCAGUGGGGAAUUUUGGACAAUGGGGGCAACCCUGAUCCAGCAAUGCCGCGUGUGUGAAGAAGGCCUUCGGGUUGUAAAGCACUUUUGUCCGAAAAGAAAUCCCCUGGGAUAAUACCCCAGGGGGAUGACGGUACCGGAAGAAUAAGCACCGGCUAACUACGUGCCAGCAGCCGCCGUAACAC